rnacentral:rRNA from 1 species
CAAGUCGAGGGGCAGCAGGUCUGUAGCAAUACAGAUGCUGGCGACCGGCAAACGGGUGCGGAACACGUACACAACCUUCCUUUAAGUGGGGAAUAGCCCGGGGAAACCCGGAUUAAUACCCCGUAACAUAAUGAAGUGGCAUCACUUUAUUAUUAUAGCUCCGGCGCUUUAAGAUGGGUGUGCGACUGAUUAGGCAGUUGGCGGGGUAACGGCCCACCAAACCUACGAUCAGUAACUGGUGUGAGAGCACGACCAGUCACACGGGCACUGAGACACGGGCCCGACUCCUACGGGAGGCAGCAGUAAGGAAUAUUGGUCAAUGGACGCAAGUCUGAACCAGCCAUGCCGCGUGGAGGAUGAAGGUCCUCUGGAUUGUAAACUUCUUUUAUCUGGGAAGAAACCCAUAAAUUCUUUUGUGGUUGACGGUACCAGAUGAAUAAGCACCGGCUAACUCCGUGCCAGCAGCCGCGGUAAUACGGAGGGUGCAAGCGUUAUCCGGAUUCACUGGGUUUAAAGGGUGCGUAGGUGGAUUGGUAAGUCAGUGGUGAAAUCUCCAGGCUUAACUUGGAAACUGCCAUUGAUACUAUCAAUCUUGAAUACCGUGGAGGUCAGCGGAAUAUGUCAUGUAGCGGUGAAAUGCUUAGAUAUGACAUAGAACACCAAUUGCGAAGGCAGCUGGCUACACGAAUAUUGACACUGAUGCACGAAAGCGUGGUGAUCAAACAGGAUUAGAUACCCUGGUAGUCCACGCCCUAAACGAUGGAUACUCGACAUACGCGAUAUACUGUGUGUGUCUGAGCGAAAGCAUUAAGUAUCCCACCUGGGAAGUACGAUCGCAAG